CGGGUGAGUAACACAUAUCCAACCUGCCGUCUACUCUUGGACAGCCUUCUGAAAGGAAGAAUUAAUACAAGAUGGCAUCAUGAGUCCGCAUGUUCACAUGAUUAAAGGUAUUCCGGUAGACGAUGGGGAUGCGUCCCAUUAGAUAGUAGGCGGGGUAACGGCCCACCUAGUCUUCGAUGGAUAGGGGUUCUGAGAGGAAGGUCCCCCACAUUGGAACUGAGACACGGUCCAA
rnacentral:rRNA from 1 species